rnacentral:rRNA from 1 species
CCCGGUGAUUAUGGCGGAGGUGUUACACCCGUUCCCUUUCCGAACACGGAAGUUAAGCCCUCCCGCGCCGAUGAUACUGCCUCUCUAAGGGGCGGGAAAGUAGGUAGUCGCUGGGC